GGCCGCUUAGAUUAGUGGUUAUAUCGUAUGCUUUACAGUGUUAUCCUGUGCUCGCAUAAUGUCGCAGGUUCGAUCCCUGCAGUGGUCA
rfam:Gaeumannomyces graminis var. tritici R3-111a-1 unplaced genomic scaffold supercont2.2, whole genome shotgun sequence.